UUUGGGCUUUUUUUGCCACAUGAUUACAGGGUUUCUGCAGGUAUCAGCUAAUCUAAUUUAAUGCUUUUAGUGCCACAUUAAACACAUGUAAUGCCCAUAUCCAACUGCAGAUACAGUUUAUAUAUAA